GGAUGCGAUCAUACCAGCACUAAAGCACCGGAUCCCAUCAAAACUCCGUAGUUAAGCGUGCUUGGGCGAGAGUAGUACUAGGAUGGGUGACCUCCUGGGAAGUCCUCGUGUUGCAUUCC
rnacentral:rRNA from 1 species